rnacentral:rRNA from 1 species
GACGAACGCUGGCGGCGUGCUUAACACAUGCAAGUCGAACGGUGAAGCGCCUUCCUUUUUGGUGGGUGUGGAUGAGUGGCGAACGGGUGAGUAACACGUGAGUAACCUGCCCCCUUCUUCUGGAUAACCGCAUGAAAGUGUGGCUAAUACGGGAUAUUCUGGGUCUGUCGCAUGAUGGGUCUGGGAAAGAUAUUGUUUCGGUGGGGGAUGGGCUCGCGGCCUAUCAGCUUGUUGGUGGGGUGAUGGCCUACCAAGGCGGUGACGGGUAGCCGGCCUGAGAGGGUGGACGGUCACACUGGGACUGAGACACGGCCCAGACUCCGACGGGAGGCAGCAGUGGGGAAUAUUGCACAAUGGGCGCAAGCCUGAUGCAGCGACGCCGCGUGAGGGAUGGAGGCCUGCGGGUUGUGAACCUCUUUCGCCAGUGAAGCAGGCCUGCCUCGUUUGUGGGUGGGUUGACGGUAGCCGGAUAAGAAGCGCCGGCUAACUACGUG